AAUCAACGCUGGCGGCGUGCCUCAGACAUGCAAGUCGAACGCGAAAGUUCCCUUCGGGGAGCAAGUAGAGUGGCGCACGGGUGAGUAACACGUAGGUAAUUUGCCUUCGGGUGGGGAAUAACAGUCGGAAACGACUGCUAAUACCGCAUAAUGCAGCGGCUCGACAUCGAGACAGUUGUUAAAGCGGGGGAUCCUUCGGGACCUCGCGCCUGAAGAGAAGCCUGCGGCAGAUUAGCUAGUUGGUGAGGUAAUGGCCCACCAAGGCUACGAUCUGUAACCGGCCUGAGAGGGCGGUCGGUC
rnacentral:rRNA from 1 species